UCCUACCCACUUUCUUGCACACCCACCCAACACUCCACCUAUCAACUCACUCACCUCACAAAUAGUUUUGACCAAGAAAACACACUACACCCACGCACAUAAUUCUGCACACACACUCACAUACAUGUUCCACUCACAUCUUCUACAAUAUACACACAUCACAGAGCACGACAUCAGACACCUCUCUAAUCCCAUCUUCAUAUCUCACACAACAAGAAUAUAAUAUACACAACACACGCAUUCACAACCUCCUCCACGGAAAAACACACACAAAAAUCCAUAUACACACUCACAGUAGACAUGGACGGGAAAAAUGGGUAGUGAAAAUAGAGAAAUUGAGGGCAAAACAGGUAAAAAUCAGCAAAAAUUGCAAAAGAGGAGAGAACCCGCCACGGUUUCUGUUCCGGCGACCAACUCCUUGGCCGAAAAAUGCCGAAAAUCGAUCGAAAAACACCCUCGAUCACUGUCACGGCUGUGAUCCGUCGGAAACUAGCCGGAGUUGUUGUCGGACCUGGCAGUGACGGUAAGCACAUAGUCGGUCGGUUUUGGCAUCGUUUUCGGUGAGGUUUUGCCGAAAUAUCGUAAUUACCGUCGACGGGUCCUGUUCCAGUCAGUUCUAGUAAUUUGAAAUCCAUCCGAUUUUAUUUACUAUUCAAUCAGUUGUCUAAGUUCGAUUAGUCCGCUUCGGGAUUCGAGUUGGUGGAUUCAUUUACUGAGGUUCUACUUGAGAUUUUCGGACACGGAUCCUAUCAGAUUUAAUCAAAAUAAUACAUCAAUUUUGAAAAUGACAUUGAGCGAAGGCUACACCGCGGUUGAUUUGUUUGGAUUGAGGUUUGAUUUGACGUUUUCAGAUCCGGCUUCAUUUUCUAAUCGCAUAAUUUGGCACCAUAAAAGCUUCGAUUGAGGUCCAUCUCUCUUUCUCAUUCUCGGUUAAUUUUAAUUGUGUUAUACUUUGUGUGGUAAAUUCAUGGUGUGUAGACUUUAUUUUUGUUGAUUUUGAUAUGUUUGAACGUCGUAGGAGAUUAUUAAUAUUAAUUGUUUGAAUUGAAUAGUUGAAUGAUUUAAACUCAAUUGGGAAUAAGCUUGGAUGGAAAUUAAAAAUUAAUAAAGUGAAUACUGAUUUGCUUUAAUUUGAAAUGGAUGUUAAUUUUGACAAACACGAUAGUAUCAUAUUUUAGGCCGAAAUCGAUAGGCAAAUUUUAGAUUUUGGGGUAAUCAACUUGCAGAAUUCUAUAUCAUCAAAUGUGUAAAUACGUGUGUUGAGUGAUUUCUCCACUUUUAUCGCAUUUCAUCAAAUGUAUUCAUUCACUGGAGAAUGCCACGAGAUCGCGUUGUACUUAUUCAUCGAGAAAUGCCCCCAAGUAUCAUGUACACAAAGGAGGUUCGUGAUCAAGGCCUAAGGCAUUGGGUAAAGCAUAGCUAGGACAAUUUGAAUAGUUUAGAUUUUAUUUCUGCAUUUUUAUUUGGUUUGUAAUAAAUUGGAUUAGAUACUAUUUUUUAUUUUUUGAUUGUUUGUUUCUUGUUUAUGUGUUUUGGUGUUUUAUACA